AGAAGUCUAGGAGUUGCAUCUAGUUCUUAGAGAAGUCAGUGACCAUGCAAGUGAACCUUGUGUCAGACAGGUUCAGCUAGGCUAUGUUAUGUAACAGUGCCCAAAUCUCAACGGCUUAAAAUCACAAAAGCUUCUCUCUCACACUGCAUGUCUACGAUAGUCUGGCAGAGGGCUCUCAUCAUAAGUUAUUCAGGAAUCCAAGCCAUGGAGCUCCACCAUUUGAGAUCCUACCGUGUCACCAUGAGGAUUAGAGCGCCCCCGUCCCAUCCCCUGUGAAAUAAGAGAAAUGAAGCACAGGAAGGUUAAGUAAUGUCACACAGCUGCAGACUCUACUGAAGCUCACCCUUGCUGGAUUUCAUGAAGAAAACUGCCAUACGGAGAUGUCCACAUGCCAAGGAACUGAGGAUGGCCUCUGGCAGACAGCCCAUGAGCACAAGGAAUUGAAUCCUGCCAACAAUGAUAUUAGCUUGCAAAUAUAUCCUUCCCCAGUUAAGCCUCAAAUGAGACUCCAGUCCUGGCUGACACCUUGAUUGCAGCCUUGUAAGACCCUGAAGCAGAGAAUCCAGAUAAGCCAUACCCAGAUUCCUGAUACACAGAAAAUGAAAUAAUAAAUGUGUGUUGUUUUAAGCUGCUAA
rnacentral:lncRNA from 1 species